rnacentral:rRNA from 1 species
UACGAAGGGGGCUAGCGUUGCUCGGAAUUACUGGGCGUAAAGCGCGCGUAGGCGGCUUUGCAAGUCGAGUGUGAAAUCCCCAGGCUUAACCUGGGAACUGCAUUCGAGACUGCAUAGCUAGAGUAUGGGAGAGGGAAGUGGAAUUUCAGGUGUAGCGGUGAAAUGCGUAGAUAUCUGAAGGAACAUCAGUGGCGAAAGCGACUUCCUGGACCAAUACUGACGCUCAUGUGCGAAAGCGUGGGGAGCAAACAGG